rnacentral:rRNA from 1 species
UACGUAGGGGGCAAGCGUUGUCCGGAAUCAUUGGGCGUAAAGCGCGUGUAGGCGGCUCGAUAAGUCUGCUGUGAAAGUUCAGGGCUCAACCCUGAAAUGCCGGUGGAAACUGUCGAGCUAGAGUACGGAAGAGGCGAGUGGAAUUCCUGGUGUAGCGGUGAAAUGCGCAGAUAUCAGGAGGAACACCAAUGGCGAAGGCAGCUCGCUGGGACGUUACUGACGCUGAGGAGCGAAAGCGUGGGGAGCGAACAGG